rnacentral:misc_RNA from 1 species
CAACCAUCAAGCCCUGCUUGUGUUGGGGUCCUGCGGCUGCCCGCAGGCCCUGAAAACCAGUGGCGGGCUCGCUAGUCACACCGAGCGCAGUAGCACAUCUCGCUCAGGGCGUGCGGCGGGUUCUUGCCGUGAAACCCCCCCCUUCCAAA